rnacentral:lncRNA from 1 species
CUUUCCCUGCCCUUGUGCCAGAGGAGGUGCCAGCUCUAGACAAGAGCCUGGGGGUUGCAGGCCCCAGCUCUGUCCAGGAGGCAGAUGCUUGUGCUGCUGUGGGAUGCCAUAAGCAGCUGCAGUGUGCUGGGAGGUAUGGCACUUCCAGCUGGUGUGGCAGGGGCUGCAGGGUAGGAGGCAGCACCUCAGCUUCAAGUGGCUGCCCCUGAGGUUGAGUGCAUUUUCAGCGCCAGGCUGGCUGGGGGUCAGUGGUCCUGGCUGCUGAGCAUCCUGCCAGAGUCUUCCCAGCUGAGGAAGGAUUACGUUCCCAGCUGGGCCUCGAGGCUGGCAGGGGCUGGGAGAUCACAAUUUUGGCUGGCAUUAGGACUGGUACAUGAUGGCUUUUGUCUGCUGGCUUCGCUGGGAUGUAAAUAUCCUCCCCUGGUCCCCAGACCCCAAGUAGGGGGGGUGAAGGGCGAUGGCUUUGCUGAGGACUCUGUGCAAGAGGGUCUCUGUGGGCAGGUGGUGGUGUGGGUCCCUCGGGACUGCUCAGCCUGGGUUCAGCUGAGGGACCAACCCUGGAUUCCUGCUGCAGCAGAACCUGAAGAGCCUGGAUGGGCGGCCUGGUGGUGGUCCAUGGGACUGGAAGGGAGGGGACUGAUGCUCUUGUCCCGUGGCGCAGCCACGGCUGCUCCCAGCAUGCCGGGGCUUGACUUGCCAGGCAGCUGCUGUGGGUCAUGGGGUUUAUUUUUAACGAGCUCCAUGGGAAAUCGCCUCCCGGGUUCCCAGCGCUGGGUCGGUCCCUAUGUCCCACAGCGGGACAGUGGGAGGACAGGGGGGCUGUGCCUGCCCUGGCUGACCUUUCUGUGUGGAUCCGGCUGCCUUCUGCUUCCCUUCAGUGUGUGUGGGCCUAUACAUGGUCCCCUCGAAGCACUUGGGACAGUGUCAGGACUGGGACUGUGGACCUGAUCUGGAAGAGGGGAGGCAGCUCUGAGUGCCCAUGCCAGGUCCUGGUGGGGGGCCUUGAGUGGGCUGAGGAGAACUUAUGAGAGGUUCGGGGUGGGGGUUGUGACUGUGCUUUCCACAUACAGUGGGUUGAACGUUGAUUUUAGGACAGAUCCCACCAGGCUUGGCUCUGAGAGCCACCCACCAUUCCUAGCACGGG